GUCGCGGAAUGCCCGUGUAUGC
rnacentral:miRNA from 1 species